GAUGAACGCUGGCGGCGUGCCUAAUACAUGCAAGUCGAGCGAACCACUUCGGUGGUGAGCGGCGAACGGGUGAGUAACACGUAGGUUAUCUGCCCAUCAGACGGGGACAACGAUUGGAAACGAUCGCUAAUACCGGAUAGGACGAAAGUUUAAAGGUGCUUCGGCACCACUGAUGGAUGAGCCUGCGGCGCAUUAGCUAGUUGGUAGGGUAAAGGCCUACCAAGGCGACGAUGCGUAGCCGACCUGAGAGGGUGAACGGCCACACUGGGACUGAGACACGGCCCAGACUCCUACGGGAGGCAGCAGUAGGGAAUCUUCGGCAAUGGGCGAAAGCCUGACCGAGCAACGCCGCGUGAAUGAUGAAGGCCUUCGGGUUGUAAAAUUCUGUUAUAAGGGAAGAAUGGCUUUAGUAGGAAAUGGCUAGAGUGUGACGGUACCUUAUGAGAAAGCCACGGCUAACUACGUGCCAGCCGCCGCCGUAACAC
rnacentral:rRNA from 1 species